GAUGAACGCUGGCGGCGUGCCUAAUACAUGCAAGUCGAGCGAAGCGGGGACGGGUGAGUAACACGUGGUAAACCGCCGAUAAGACUGGGAUAACUUCGGAAAACCGGAGCAAAACCGGAUACUUCUAGGUGGGUCCGGGCUGCAUUCGCUAGUUGGUAAGGGAAUGGCUGACCAAGGCAACGAUGCAUAGCCGACCUGAGAGGGUGAGCGGCCACACUGGAACUGAGACACGGUCCAGACUCCUACGGGAGGCAGCAGUAGGGAAUCUUCCGCAAUGGGCGAAAGCCUGACCGAGCAACGCCGCGUGAGUGAAGAAGGUCUUCGGAUUGUAAAACUCUGUUAUUAGGGAAGCGGUACCUAAUCAGAAAGCCACGGCUAACUACGUGCCAGCAGCCGCGGUAAUAC
rnacentral:rRNA from 1 species